rnacentral:rRNA from 1 species
GUAGGUGGCAAGCGUUGUCCGGAAUUAUUGGGCGUAAAGCGCGCGCAGGCGGUUCUUUAAGUCUGAUGUGAAAGCCCACGGCUCAACCGUGGAGGGUCAUUGGAAACUGGAGAACUUGAGUACAGAAGAGGAAAGCGGAAUUCCACGUGUAGCGGUGAAUGCGUAGAGAUGUGGAGGAACACCAGUGGCGAAGGCGGCUUUCUGGUCUGUAACUGACGCUGAGGCGCGAAAGCGUGGGGAGCAAACAGGAUUAGGUACCCUGGUAGUCCACGCCGUAACGAUGAGUGCUAAGUGUUAGGGGGGUUUCCGCCCCCUUAGUGCUGCAGCUAACGCAUUAAGCACUCCGCCUGGGGAGUACGGCCGCAAGGCUG